GAAAGGUUAGUUAAACAAUAACGUGGGGUUGUCAGCCCCGAGUGGCUUAUAAGCACCUUUUU
rnacentral:tRNA from 1 species